UUGCAUAGUUUUAGAUAUUGGAUGUGACUCAAAACCCACCAAAUUACUCCUCCCAUCAUAUUAUGAUGUUCCCCAAGGUUUGGACUCAAUCCGAUAUCGAUUGGUCCAUGAAAUUGGACAAUUCAGGUUCGUACGAAGUUCGUUAUGAAAUGGAGUGGUUGGCAUAUUGCAUAGUUUUAGAUAUUGGAUGUCACUCAAAACCCA
rnacentral:lncRNA from 1 species